rnacentral:lncRNA from 1 species
CGGUUUAAGGGUUCUAAUAGAGAUGCUCUUAUCACCAUUCUCCAGGUCAGGUUUCGUCUUAAAUUUAGAACAAAAGACAUGUCAUGCAGUGAGGUAGGGAGAAACCAUUUCUACACACGGGACCUAUUUGAUGACAUGGAUAGGCUACAUGGCAAGAUAAUUGAGGUACUGGGGAUGAACUUCUUAUAUGUAUAAGUCGUCUUAAAUUUAGAGUACAAGACAUGCCAUGCAGUGUGGUAGGGAGGAACCAUUUUUACACACGGGGCCUACUCGAUGACGUGCAGAUGCUACAUGACGAGAUAAUUGAGGUAGUGGGGGUGAACUUCUUAUAUAUAUAU